GGCGAACGCUGGCGGCAGGCUUAACACAUGCAAGUCGAGCGGGCCUUUCGGGGUCAGCGGCGGACGGGUGAGUAACGCGUGGGAACGUGCCCUCUGGUUCGGAAUAACUCAGGGAAACUUGAGCUAAUACCGGAUACGCCCUUUUGGGGAAAGGCUUGCUGCCGGAGGAUCGGCCCGCGUCUGAUUAGCUAGUUGGUGAGGUAACGGCUCACCAAGGCGACGAUCAGUAGCUGGUCUGAGAGGAUGAUCAGCCACACUGGGACUGAGACACGGCCCAGACUCCUACGGGAGGCAGCAGUGGGGAAUAUUGGACAAUGGGCGCAAGCCUGAUCCAGCCAUGCCGCGUGAGUGAUGAAGGCCUUAGGGUUGUAAAGCUCUUUUAUCCGGGACGAUAAUGACGGUACCGGAGGAAUAAGCCCCGGCUAACUUCGUG
rnacentral:rRNA from 1 species